rnacentral:RNase_P_RNA from 1 species
CGAGUUGGCCGGGCGGUCGCGAGGGGCCUUCGGGUCCUUCGAGGAAAGUCCGGACUCCACAGGGCAGGGUGGUUGCUAACGGCAACCCGGGGCGACCCGCGGGACAGUGCCACAGAAAACAGACCGCCCCGGCUUCCGAGCCGGGGUAAGGGUGAAACGGUGGUGUAAGAGACCACCAGCACCCCGGGUGACCGGGGUGGCUCGGUAAACCCCACCCGGAGCAAGGCCAAGAGGGCGCCUGGCGACAGGCGCCUGCGCAGGCGUUCGAGGGCUGCCCGCCCGAGCCUGCGGGUAGGCCGCUCGAACCUGCCGGCAACGGCAGGUCUAGAUGGAUGGCCGCCGCCGCGCCUUCGCGCGCGGAACAGGAUCCGGCUUACAGGCCAACUCGUCCG